rnacentral:rRNA from 1 species
CCUACGGGUGGCAGCAGUGGGGAAUAUUGCACAAUGGGGGAAACCCUGAUGCAGCAACGCCGCGUGAGUGAAGAAGUAUUUCGGAUUGUAAAGCUCUAUCAGCAGGGAAGAUGAAAGACGUAACCUGACUAGGAAGUCCGGCCUAACUACGUGCCAGCACCCGCGGAAAUAGUUAGGGGGCAAGCGUUGUCCGGAUUUACUGGGUGGAAAGGGAGCGUAGACGGGUGUGCAAGUCAGAAGUGAAAGCCAGGGGCUCACCCGUGGAACUGCUUUUGAAACUGUAUACCGUGAGUACUGGAGAGGCAGGCGGAAUUCCCAGUGUAGCGGUGAAAUGCGUAGAUAUUAGGAGGAACACCAGUGGCGAAGGCGGCCUGCUGGGCAGAAACUGACGUUGAGGCACGAAAGCGUGGGGAGCAAACAGGAUUAGAUAACCGUGUAGUC